rnacentral:lncRNA from 1 species
GAUGCCAUCAGCGCUGCGAAUCCCCGGGUUAUCGACGACAGCAGAGCCCGCAAGCUCUCCACAGAUCUGAAGCGGUGCACCUACUAUGAGACGUGCGCGACCUACGGGCUCAAUGUGGAGCGUGUCUUCCAGGACGUGGCCCAGAAGGUAGUGGCCUUGCGAAAGAAGCAGCAACUGGCCAUCGGGCCCUGCAAGUCACUGCCCAACUCGCCCAGCCACUCGGCCGUGUCCGCCGCCUCCAUCCCGGCCGUGCACAUCAACCAGGCCACGAAUGGCGGCGGCAGCGCCUUCAGCGACUACUCGUCCUCAGUCCCCUCCACCCCCAGCAUCAGCCAGCGGGAGCUGCGCAUCGAGACCAUCGCUGCCUCCUCCACCCCCACACCCAUCCGAAAGCAGUCCAAGCGGCGCUCCAACAUCUUCACGCUAAUGAACCGGCGGCCGGAAGGCUGUUUGCCCAAGGCGACACAGAGGAUAUGUGCCACUGUUUCCAACUUUUCAUCAACAAAAAGGCCUUUCCAACUCCUUCCAAAUUAGAAGACC